rnacentral:sRNA from 1 species
ACGUGGUGGGGAGUCGCCCAGAAAAGCUGCGGAUGGUCUGUCCACGCAUAAAGUUAUCUUUGACCACACUGCACAAAGCCUAAAAGCUACAGAGUGCACCCUCGCAAUGCGUUUUCCGCUCAAUGAGAGCUGCACAAUGACCUACGUACAAGCGAAAACCCUGUGGGGUUUUCCGUUUUCAUGCCCGCGACAUACAACGCUUCCUCAUCCGGUAUUGUUCUGUGGAUAGAACUAUCGGAUUCUGGAGACGAUUACACGUAUAUCAACACAAGCGGAAGAAGCCCUAGCGUAUUCACGCUGCUUGCUGGCUAACGACUCGACCCAGCAUGCCAUACCGACCGUAGACCUAGCUUUGUGGGCAUGCAUAUACAAAUUUCCAUCCAUCCCAUCGAUUGCUGCGAGAGCGGGAGCCCACAUCUGAACCAAGUUCUGCUUCCCUCUGAAGCCGGUGAUGCGUCGAUGUAGGCGCCUCCGCCCCCCUGGACGAAUUGACGGGGUUUAGCAGCCAAUAAAGGGUGUGGUGCAUAUGCUGGCUCUCCGCCUCCGACAAAUCCCACUGAUCAAUCCUUGCUCCCUGCCUGGCUCCGCGCCGGGAGACUGGGGGUAUUUGCCCUCUGGCCAUUCCCACGCUGCCCAGAUCUGCCCGAUUUAGCUCCAUUUGUAUUGAAGCCUGACCAGGCAUCAGUCUCAGGAUGCACAUCGAAAUCAUCUGCUGUGGUUCAAAAUAUGCCUAGAUUUCAGAACAUCGCUGCGUAUCCGUACGAAGUGAUGUGAGUGCACGCACAGGAACAUGGACUGAAUACGCCAAAACU